rnacentral:rRNA from 1 species
GACGAACGCUGGCGGCGUGCUUAACACAUGCAAGUCGAACGAGAAAGCCCUUCGGGGUAAGUACAGUGGCGAACGGGUGAGUAACACGUGGGCAACCUGCCCCAGAGAGCGGGACAACCCGGGGAAACCCGGGCUAAUACCGCAUGAUGCGUCUCCACUUCAGUGGAGCCGCCAAAUGGUAGCUUCGGCCUCCGCCCUGGGAUGGGCCCGCGCCGGAUUAGCUAGUUGGUUGGGGUAACGGCCCACCAAGGCGACGAUCCGUAGCUGGUCUGAGAGGACGAUCAGCCACACUGGGACUGAGACACGGCCCAGACUCCUACGGGAGGCAGCAGUGGGGAAUCUUGCGCAAUGGGCGAAAGCCUGACGCAGCAACGCCGCGUGGGGGAAGAAGGCCUUCGGGUUGUAAACCUCUUUCAGUAGGGACGAAGCUUCCGGGGUUAAUAGCCUACGGGGUGACGGUACCUACAGAAGAAGCCCCGGCUAACUACGUGCCAGCAGCCGCCGUAA